rnacentral:lncRNA from 1 species
UCUUGGGGUCCCCACCCUCCCUUACACCUGACACAUGCUGGUCGCUGUCUGGCUCUUGGUGUGGGCAAAAAGACAUGCAACUAAAGCUGUCUGUAAGGAAGGAAUGACAACUGGGAAAAGACGCAUGACACCAUCCUUCACAUUAACUUUUGAUUUUGUGUAAAAAGCGGGGGUGGGGUGGAGGAUGAAAGGACUUGCUUGUUUCCUAGUGUUGCUGGGGCAUAAAGGAAAGAGCUCAAUCUUCCCUAAAGAGCCCUUUCGUGAUCCAAAAUCUCAGCACCUGUAAGAAGAACUGGACGGGGGAAGGGAGAAAGUGAAGAACUGUAAACAGUUUUUCUCGUGAGCAAUCCUUAAUGCGGAAGUAAGAAUUCAUAAUUCGGUAUGCAGAUAAGGGACUUGAAAACCGGAAACUGAUAAUCAGAACAGAACAUCCUGCCUCUGAACUGUUUGAAUUGGAGGAAGACUUUUAAGAUCAGUCUGAGUGCUGUGGAUGCAGAGAAAUCCAGUAAUGUAAGCAUUAGUUCCUCCUAGACACAAAGGUUCCAACAGCUGAGGAACUAUGAGAUAAACCAGACAAGCCAUUGCAGACACUUGGUUAUACUGACUGUUGUCCUGGUGAAUGCCGGAUACCAGAAGGCAACAGAGGAAUGACAGGUGCAGGAGACCACAGAGGAAAGGGCACGAAGAGACUUAGGACCAAUCUUUUUCCAGACGGUGGAGUGCUGCCCAGUCCGGGCAACCAUCUGCUGUUGAACCCUGGGAAAGGGCAGGCUGGGGCUCCCGAGUCCCUCGGUGGGCUCCUCCCCAUGCCCUCAUCUGUUUUAGGCGGUGGUAAGAAAGCUCCUGAGACGGGUGGAGUAGCCCGUACAAAACACAAAAUUAUUAUUAUUUUUCCCGUUUCUGGAGCCAUUCCCUGGG